rnacentral:rRNA from 1 species
UACGUAGGUGGCAAGCGUUGUCCGGAUUUACUGGGCGUAAAGAGCGCGCAGGCGGUCGUUCAAGUCGCGUGUGAAAGCCCCCGGCUCAACUGGGGAGGGUCACGCGAUACUGAUCGACUCGAAGGCAGGAGUGGGUAGUGGAAUUCCCGGUGUAGUGGUGAAAUGCGUAGAUAUCGGGAGGAACACCAGUGGCGAAGGCGACUACCUGGCCUGUUUCUUGACGCUGAGGCGCGAAAGCUAGGGGAGCAAACGGG